rnacentral:rRNA from 1 species
ACGAACGCUGGCGGCGUGCCUAAUACAUGCAAGUCGAACGCUUCUUUUUCCACCGGAGCUUGCUCCACCGGAAAAAGAGGAGUGGCGAACGGGUGAGUAACACGUGGGUAACCUGCCCAUCAGAAGGGGAUAACACUUGGAAACAGGUGCUAAUACCGUAUAACAAUCGAAACCGCAUGGUUUUGAUUUGAAAGGCGCUUUCGGGUGUCGCUGAUGGAUGGACCCGCGGUGCAUUAGCUAGUUGGUGAGGUAACGGCUCACCAAGGCGACGAUGCAUAGCCGACCUGAGAGGGUGAUCGGCCACAUUGGGACUGAGACACGGCCCAAACUCCUACGGGAGGCAGCAGUAGGGAAUCUUCGGCAAUGGACGAAAGUCUGACCGAGCAACGCCGCGUGAGUGAAGAAGGUUUUCGGAUCGUAAAACUCUGUUGUUAGAGAAGAACAAGGAUGAGAGUAACUGUUCAUCCCUUGACGGUAUCUAACCAGAAAGCCACGGCUAACUACGUGCCAGCAGCCGCGGUAAUACGUAGGUGGCAAGCGUUGUCCGGAUUUAUUGGGCGUAAAGCGAGCGCAGGCGGUUUCUUAAGUCUGAUGUGAAAGCCCCCGGCUCAACCGGGGAGGGUCAUUGGAAACUGGGAGACUUGAGUGCAGAAGAGGAGAGUGGAAUUCCAUGUGUAGCGGUGAAAUGCGUAGAUAUAUGGAGGAACACCAGUGGCGAAGGCGGCUCUCUGGUCUGUAACUGACGCUGAGGCUCGAAAGCGUGGGGAGCAAACAGGAUUAGAUACCCUGGUAGUCCACGCCGUAAACGAUGACUACUAGGUGUCGGGGAGCAAAGCUCUUCGGUGCCGCAGCAAACGCAAUAAGUAGUCCACCUGGGGAGUACGUUCGCAAGAAUGAAACUCAAAGGAAUUGACGGGGGCCCGCACAAGCGGUGGAGCAUGUGGUUUAAUUCGAAGCAACGCGAAGAACCUUACCAGGUCUUGACAUCCUUUGACCACUCUAGAGAUAGAGCUUCCCCUUCGGGGGCAAAGUGACAGGUGGUGCAUGGUUGUCGUCAGCUCGUGUCGUGAGAUGUUGGGUUAAGUCCCGCAACGAGCGCAACCCUUAUUGUUAGUUGCCAUCAUUUAGUUGGGCACUCUAGCAAGACUGCCGGUGACAAACCGGAGGAAGGUGGGGAUGACGUCAAAUCAUCAUGCCCCUUAUGACCUGGGCUACACACGUGCUACAAUGGGAAGUACAACGAGUCGCAAAGUCGCGAGGCUAAGCUAAUCUCUUAAAGCUUCUCUCAGUUCGGAUUGUAGGCUGCAACUCGCCUACAUGAAGCCGGAAUCGCUAGUAAUCGCGGAUCAGCACGCCGCGGUGAAUACGUUCCCGGGCCUUGUACACACCGCCCGUCACACCACGAGAGUUUGUAACACCCGAAGUCGGUGAGGUAACCUUUUGGAGCCAGCCGCCUAAGGUGGGAUAGAUGAUUGGGGUG